rnacentral:rRNA from 1 species
AGUGAACGCUGGCGGUAGGCCUAACACAUGCAAGUCGAACGGCAGCACAGUAAGAGCUUGCUCUUACGGUUGGCGAGUGGCGGACGGGUGAGGAAUACAUCGGAAUCUACUUUUUCGUGGGGGAUAACGUAGGGAAACUUACGCUAAUACCGCAUACGACCUACGGGUGAAAUCAGGGGAUCUUCGGACCUUGCGCGAUUGAAUUAGCCGAUGUCGGAUUAGCUAGUUGGCGUGGUAAAGGCCCACCAAGGCGACGAUCCGUAGCUGGUCUGAGAGGAUGAUCAGCCACACUGGAACUGAGACACGGUCCAGACUCCUACGGGAGGCAGCAGUGGGGAAUAUUGGACAAUGGGCGCAAGCCUGAUCCAGCAAUACCGCGUGGGUGAAGAAGGCCUUCGGGUUGUAAAGCCCUUUUGUUGGGAAAGAAAAGCAGCAGGUUAAUACCCCGCUGUUCUGACGGUACCCAAAGAAUAAGCACCGGCUAACUUCGUG